rnacentral:tRNA from 1 species
UCCCUGGUGGUCCAGUGGCUAAGGCUCCAAGCUCCCAAUUUAGGGGCCCAGGUUCGAUCCCUAGUCAGGGAA